AUUGAACGCUGGCGGCAGGCCUAACACAUGCAAGUCGAGCGGAUGAGUGGAGCUUGCUCCAUGAUUCAGCGGCGGACGGGUGAGUAAUGCCUAGGAAUCUGCCUAUUAGUGGGGGACAACGUUUCGAAAGGAACGCUAAUACCGCAUACGUCCUACGGGAGAAAGCAGGGGGCCUUCGGGCCUUGCGCUAAUAGAUGAGCCUAGGUCGGAUUAGCUAGUUGGUGAGGUAAUGGCUCACCAAGGCGACGAUCCGUAACUGGUCUGAGAGGAUGAUCAGUCACACUGGAACUGAGACACGGUCCAGACUCCUACGGGAGGCAGCAGUGGGGAAUAUUGGACAAUGGGCGAAAGCCUGAUCCGGCCAUGCCGCGUGUGUGAAGAAGGUCCUCGGAUUGUAAAGCACUUUAAGUUGGGAGGAAGGGUUGUACGUUAAUACCGUGCAAUUUUGACGUUACCGACAGAAUAAGCACCGGCUAACUCUGUGCCAGCCGCCGCAGUAA
rnacentral:rRNA from 1 species